AGGGAGUUGCAUCCUGACUUUGCCCACUAGAGGAGGACUGCAGACGCUGGGGCCUGUGCCGAAGGGUACAUCAGAUUCAGAACAGAAAGGAUCUGAAGCUCUCAGGAUUCAAGGUUAUCUUCCAUUUAUUGACUCACCCGGAGAUGAUGGAGCCUGAUCUACUGUAGAACCUGAGUGCAUCAAGACAGUGUUUGCUCCAUGCAUUUUCAGGACUUCUGCAGAAGUUGAUGCAAAGGAGAGCAAGAGGAUACAGAUAUUUCUGUAAAUUUUUUGCACCUCUCCAUUACUACGU
rnacentral:lncRNA from 1 species